UAGCACAGCCACUUUCUCCCGGCAUUCCAUUACAUUCAAUAAUAUCAGUGCAUAGCCAUAAACUUUGUCUCAUUGUCCAGAUUGAAUAUCUCUGAAACCCAUCUGUUAUUUAAAUUAUGGAGGGAAGGAAGUGGAGAAAAACAUGGUUUCAGCUCUAUUUCUAUUUCCUCAUUACCUCAAGCUCUGUGCUGAGACAAACUGGUUUACAUGAAUUAACAGAUACUUGUGUAAAACUCCUGAUCUACGUGUAGUAGGUGUGUAGUAGUUUUGGUGAACGCAGCCCCAGUAUCAGUGAAUGCAGCCUCAGGCUUGACUCCUCUUCGCCACUCUCCUAAUCAGGCCCCACUAUAAAAGGCACAUGCUGGUAGUUGUUCUCUCUUUUGGUGCCACCAGUGCUGUUCCCUCUUGCUGCUACAUUUUUCCAGGAGGAGGAGCUGAAUGUCAUUUUUUAGUUCACUUUUUAGGGAUUAAACGGUUACCGAUUUCAUGGUAAACCAUGGUGAAAUUCUCAACGGUUAGUUCUACCGUUUCAAAUUUUAAUUAUCAUUAAAACCGUGGUUGAUUACCACGGUAAAUAUUGUCCAGCUCUACCAGAUGCAGGCGUGUCGAUGCUGAGGGACAGUUGAUAGAAGGUGGCUAUCUACUGUAUGUCCGCAGAACCUGCAGGAAAACAAUCGCUAUUGAAUGGCUCUUUGGAAGAACGAAGGGAUCAGUCUUGGGAGCGUGGUUAUUUUGUAAAGAACAAUUUAACACAUCUCUGCACAAGAUGGAUAUUUUUCAAGAAAAGAGAACGAUGAGCUUGUCUUUUGAAAGGUUUAUGUAUUUUGAACAUUUUCAUAUUUAAAAAAAUACCGUGAUAAUACUGAUAGCUGUGAUAAUUUUAACUACCAUGAUGUUAAAUUUUCAUACUGUUAUAUUGCUUGUCCCCUUUAUUGUUUGCUGUGAUGAUGGGCACUGACACACGUUUGAUUCACCUUGGUUUCUGUGUGUAGGUGGCUGUGGCUGCACUUCUGGUGAUUAUGUGGUAGCACCCCUGGGCACAUCCUAGCAUAGCCUGCCACCCCACUUACUAGCCUCAGCCCUCCUGCAGUUUGUUUUUUAGUUACCAGUUGCACAAUUAAUAUUUUAAUGAAAAGAUUUUAACAUCUUUCGCGCACCUUGUUUUCUUUUGAUUAUCAAUCAAAAUAUAAGUGAUUGAUUUGCUUUAUAUCAUCUGUCGUCUGUCCUUCAAUUGAACAAGCCUGUGUGCUUAAGUAAAUUUUAAGUUACUGACAAUAGCAUAUUCAAUAGUACAUAUUUCCUGGGGUGCAAUUCCUCAGGUGGUGUUGCCGGACUUACAACUAUUUAUACACUGUAUAUUAGUCUUCUCAACAGCUGCUCCGUCACAUACACAUUCAGAAUUUUUAAUUUACAUGUGUAUAUAAAUUACCAGAGGCCCCCUUGCAGAUAGAGACAUCACAUUGUCAGAGGUAUUGAAUGGAUUGGUCAAAUGGUUUACUGGCAGAUUGGACCACAUUGUAUUGUGAUUUAAGCCUGUCCAGGAUUUGCUGAGUUGUAUCCACCUCAUUGUCACACAGCACUUGAUUAACCCGGCCCACAACCUACUGUUUUUGACUUGCCUUGAUGCAAUGGUAUAAAAUAUCACUCUGGAUGUUGACUAUCAAAAAAAAUUGUACUACCUUGCUGUGAUCUUCUGUCUUGCACCUGAGACUAGACACAGAAUUGGACCUAAAGGAAUUCUUAAUCUCCAGCUCAAACUGCAAGAAACCUAGGUGGGACACUGGAAGACCAGCUGUCCUUCCCUGCCAACAUUUCAGUGACGACCUGCUCCUCCAGAUUAAACCUCCACAACAUCAGGAGGAUACAUCUGUUCUUCACAGGAGGGGACGCAGGAAGCACUGCAAAGGGUGGGCAGCCACCGCUCAACUAAAUCACAUCUGUUUUCUGUCCUGGUUCCUCAAUGGUGGUACAAGCUCCCCAUUGACAUCAGGUCAGCAGAAAAACCCUUAAAUGCUUCUGUGACAGCCUGAAAACUCAACUGUUCAGACUGCUCCUUACUCCUUGAAUCAUUUCUUCUUGUAACUUCUCCGAAUCUAAGAUGAGGCACUUGAAGCUGUUUUUGCCUGUUUGAUAAAUGUUUUUGUCUUGA